GGGUAUUAAUGGUUUGCUGCAUUUGUUUGAUUUUUUUGGGGUGAUAUUUCCUGGAAAUAGUCUCUUUGUAGUUGGGUAUUACUGACUUGUUUUAUUUGCUUGUUUUUGUGAAUUUAAUUAUAUUCUAGUGUUGUAAUACUUGCACGUAUGUGUAAUGCGUGUUGUAUUUUGGGAUAGAAAUAUAUUCUCAAUUUUUCAUCUCAUCAGUAUGAAUAUGGAAGAGGGAUUGAGGGGAGGACCGAUACUAUAUGUACCAGUCAUGUGACAACUCAAAAUAGGUCCAUUCCAUUCAACCCAUUUUGAGUCGUCAAAUACAUGGUACAGAAAACAACUACAACUUUAUUACAACAAUUGUCGUACAAAAUACAACAACACAUAUGCUGUG
rnacentral:lncRNA from 1 species